GGUAUAAUGAGUACCUCAGUUUAGCGUGUUACCAUGGCAACAUUUGCUAGCAAGUACUAAAAGCAAACUUCUGUCAAGGUUGACGGAGAUGUAAUUUGACCUGCAUUCAUGAUAAAGAUGCAUUUAUGAUAUAAUUUGACUAAAUGUGAACCAGAUUUCGCUUAUUAUUGGUUUCACUCAAGAGCACAAUUUUUUUUUAUUCCAAAAUGCAUGACUGGAUUUAAUUUUCUGCUUAAAAAUUCUUCAGAAUGGUUGGGUCAUUGAAAGUUUUGAUGUCAGUGUUUCAUCACUGUCUGGAAGUAAUGUGCUAAAAUCUGCCACAAUACAUUAAAACCAAGAAAAAAUGAACAAGUAAACAUCCAAAGCAGUGAAGUUAAGAUCAGAAACAAGUUGGGACAUGUAAAAAUGUGACAUAUACUUAACUGAACUCACAAUUAUGUGACAGAAGAUUGAGCAAGCUUCCUGUUCCAGAUGGACCCUCUGGAAGGCCCAAUCAGCCCAUGUGUCUGACACUCAAGGCCAUGAUUUGCUUCAUUAUUAAAGCCAAAUGUCAGAACAAGCCCUCAAAGGCUUUUCUUCUGUCUACAGGGUGACUCGGCCGCCGUAUUACUGAUACAAAUGAUUUCAUCAAAGUAUCCCGAGCAGCCUCUUCAAUCCUGACCCACAGGCUUCUGUCUCAGCCUUUCAGCAUACAGGCUGGUUGUUCACAAAGGGAUUAUAUUGAGCUAUCCAGCCAUAUCUCUGGGGCGAGACAAGCAGCAUGACUGUUGCAGAGUUCUGGAUCCUGCUGAGGAGGUUGGUGCUGCAAAGAAGAAAAAAAAGAAAAAAGACACUGACGGCUGCCUAUUCCUGUGUUCAUUCAGAUUUUACCAGAAGCGCCUGCACUCAGGUGGAAUCUUAAUGUUGUAAAGCUCUCAGGUGCUUGGAGAAAAGCCUGUGUAGCGUUCGGGCGUCGUGCUAAGCGCACUGGCUGCUGCUUAGAUCUGCUGUGUGCACUGCAUACCAAUUACUGGCCCUUCAGGUAGAAAGGUUGGAUUUUUGAGGCUUCAAAGGACAAGCUGGCUGCAAAUGAGCCCGCCCCCGCUAUCUUAAACACAUGCUCGAGGCAAUAUCAUCAUUCCCACUGACCUUGGAAACAUUCACAGAAAACGUGGACAGUGAGGAACCAGAAGAGGGAUGCAGGCAUUCGGGUCAAACCGAGUUGUGAUGUGUGCAGCUGUAUAUUAGCUUUAUAUAAAUACGUUUUAGCUCGUACUUUUUGACUGGAUAAAAGGUAUUUAAGCUUAAACAUACCAGUUGAGGAGACUGAUACCAUUUUUUUUAUAGCUAGUGAACUCAGUCAUGCAGAAACACUCCAAACAAGGGAAACCAACUCGCCUGAAUGUGUUAGAAAGUGACAAAAUCCACCUAUCAACACCCCUAAAGCUCACUAAUUAACACUAGAUGUUUUGUUUCAGCAAAGACUGAAGUGGGAAGAAACUGUUUUCCUUCUUUACUGGUUUACUAUUCUCUUCCAUAAAAUACAGCCGGCACAUAACCUCCAUUAAAACAGUGAAUUCCUGUGAUUAAUGUCUUUUACAGUGAGCCACAUUCACACUUUCUAAAAUGACAAACCAUUUCUUUAAACCAUUCUGGCUUCAGCUUACUGAUGCAGCAUUGAUCCUAUCACAAAAUAUACCACUAAAUUCAACACUGAAAUCCAUGAUGCUAUAAUUCAGUGUUUUUAAUCAGCAAGAAAGCAUACGAUGUGUCUUGAAUUUCCAGUUUUAGAUUAUUAUAACAUUUUAGCAUCAUCAAUGCCACAGUAAAUAUUUGAGACAAUAUGAUUUCUGUUUCAGUAUAAAAUAAAAACUAUAAAUAUGAUUUACAAUCAAUCAAAAACAAUGGUGACAAAGAGGACAAAGAAUCUCAGAUCAGCACCCACUUUCCAUGUGUGUGGCCAUUUAUUUAGCAUGCAAUUGUGCUAAAUAGUAAGCCUAUAAAGUACGAUUUGCUAUUAAUACAACUGUCAUUAGCAGGAAAAUCUUUGGCGUGCAGAUUGGGAAGUUUAAAUGCAGAUUUACAGCAGUUAUAGUCUGAAGUCAGAGGCAGUGGAAAACAUUAUAAACCCUUGUAUUUUUCCUCCAGGAAUAAAUCUCAACUAAAUCCCCAAACUCCUAAUUUCCUUUACUGGUGUUCUGGUGUAGUCUGUGUUUAACACUCCCUGUGUGUCUGGCUGUAAAUAAAGCUGCAGGAUAAACUCACAGCUUCAUCUCCUUUAGAAGAAGCUUCCAUUGUGACACAUAUCACAUAUACUGUAACCAUAUACCUGCUGCUGAUAAGCACAGUGUCUGGGACUACUGCUCUAGUUACAGAUCUGCCCUGCUCACGAUAGCUCGGCUUUAUCAGCAAACCUGCAAAAUACCAUCAUCUUAUAGAGCCAAAACAGUCCUGAGAUAAGGAGUCAUGAAAGACUGGUAGCGUAUCAGCAGGUCGCACAUUUCCAGCAACGUUUGCAAAGUCGAGUCUUCUCUCAAAGCUGGAAUCCAUUAAAACAAGUGGUUAAACUGAACAUUUUCAUGCAGAACAGUGCGAGUCUGCACUGACACCUGGUGGCUUCACCCGAUCUCAGCGUUUUCUGCUCUAAUCCAUGAGCUGCAACAAAUGCAAAACUUGUCUUUGAAAACAUGUCUCUGAUAGAAGUGUAAUGUCAGGUUGAGGCGCAGCAUUUUAAUAGAGUGCAAAAAGUACACUUGAAAUUGCAUUUCAAACAAGAUUACUGGCUUUGAAUCCUGUUUAGAAAACAUCAGUUUAGCAGCAGAUUGGCUGGUUAAUGGUUUAAUUCAUGAUGUGAAUUCUGCUGUUUUAUCAACCAUUAAAAAAAAAGACACAACAAACUUAAGUGCUUGCUGCAUCUAAGCAUUUUAAUUAAACACUGGAUGGAAAUGUUGAGUUGGAAUGUUUUUCCUCC
ensembl:lncRNA